rnacentral:rRNA from 1 species
AGUGAACGCUGGCGGUAGGCCUAACACAUGCAAGUCGAACGGCAGCACAGUAAGAGCUUGCUCUUACGGGUGGCGAGUGGCGGACGGGUGAGGAAUACAUCGGAAUCUACUUUUUCGUGGGGGAUAACGUAGGGAAACUUACGCUAAUACCGCAUACGACCUACGGGUGAAAGCAGGGGAUCUUCGUACCUUGCGCGAUUGAAUGAGCCGAUGUCGGAUUAGCUAGUUGGCGGGGUAAAGGCCCACCAAGGCGACGAUCCGUAGCUGGUCUGAGAGGAUGAUCAGCCAAACUGGAACUGAGACACGGUCCAGACUCCUACGGGAGGCAGCAGUGGGGAAUAUUGGACAAUGGGCGCAAGCCUGAUCCAGCCAUACCGCGUGGGUGAAGAAGGCCUUCGGGUUGUAAAGCCCUUUUGUUGGGAAAGAAAAGCAGCAGGUUAAUACCCCGCUGUUCUGACGGUACCCAAAGAAUAAGCACCGGCUAACUUCGUG